UACAGAGGGGGCAAGCGUUGUUCGGAAUUACUGGGCGUAAAGGGCGCGUAGGCGGCCCGCUAAGUCGAACGUGAAAUCCCCGAGCUCAACUCGGGAACUGCGUCCGAUACUGGCGGGCUUGAAUCCGGGAGAGGGAUGCGGAAUUCCAGGUGUAGCGGUGAAAUGCGUAGAUAUCUGGAGGAACACCGGUGGCGAAGGCGGCAUCCUGGACCGGCAUUGACGCUGAGGCGCGAAAAGCUAGGGUAGCAAACGGG
rnacentral:rRNA from 1 species